UACGAAGGGGGCUAGCGUUGCUCGGAUUGACUGGGCGUAAAGGGCGCGUAGGCGGAUAGUACAGUCAGGCGUGAAAUUCCUGGGCUCAACCUGGGGGCUGCGUUUGAUACGUAUUGUCUGGAGUUCGGAAGAGGGUCGUGGAAUUCCCAGUGUAGAGGUGAAAUGCGUAGAGAUCGGAAAGAACACCAACGGCGAAAGCACUCUGCUGGGCCGACACUGACACUGAGAGACGAAAGCUAGGGGAGCGAAUGGG
rnacentral:rRNA from 1 species